rnacentral:rRNA from 1 species
GUCCUAGCCGUAAACGAUGAGCACUGGAUUGGAGGGUCCUCCAUAGCCUUCCAGUCGCAACGAAAGCGUUAAGUGCUCCGCCUGGGGAGUAUGGUCGCAAGGCUGAAACUCAAAGUAAUUGACGGGGCUCACACAAGCGGUGGAGGAUGUGGCUUAAUUCGAGGCUACGCGAAGAACCUUAUCCUAGUCUUGACAUGCACGGAUUAACCCCUGGAAACAGGGGCCACGCCUUCGGGUGGAACGUGCACAGGUGCUGCAUGGCUGUCGU